GACCCCUCCCAGGCCGCUCGGAUCUCGCCACCCGACCCAUCUACAAACCCUACCUGCGAUGGCGGCUUGCCCGGCGGCAGCGCCUUCACGUUGCCCGGCGGCAGCUCCUUUACGUAGCUAAGGGUGCGUGUGAGAAGAAGGUGGUGGAUGUGAGCAACAAGCUGAGGGUGCGGACGAGCGCCGAGAUCGAGCAGCAGAGCACCUCCGGCCGAUUCACCAUGAUCGUCAACAGGCCAGUGGCCACCGGCCAGCAUGGCGGAUGUCAUAAUAAGGGAUAUCAAGGGCAAGUUCUUGAAGAUUACCGAAACCGCCGACAAGGUCUUAGUGCUACCAGAGCUCGUCCCGUACCAGAAGAAAGAUCAGUGGUUCAUGAUUUAAGAAGCUGGUAGGGUCAAACCAUGUGUUUGCAUGGUCGUCCUGAUUUAGAAGCUUUUGUGCAACUGAAUAGACGUGCGUCCAUGAAAGGUUAUCUUGUUUUUCUUACAUAAAUCAGUUUGUCACUCGUAUUUCAUUCAUCACCCUACUCUUCCAGUUGGAAGUUGAGGUAAACUAUUGACCAAGCCCACUUUUUAUUAAUUGUGGAUUUAUGUGUUUUUCUUCUUUCUUGUUUAUUAGCCAGUGUUGCCUACAUGUCACUUCAAUCUUCCACCAUUGAAGUUACUGUAAAAACAAAUCGUGAUGUUACUUUAAACAAAUGACCAUAUGUGCUUCCUUCCCACGAAA